UGGGGAAUUUUGGACAAUGGGGGCAACCCUGAUCCAGCAAUGCCGCGUGUGUGAAGAAGGCCUUCGGGUUGUAAAGCACUUUUGUCCGGAAAGAAAACGCCGUGGUUAAUACCCGUGGCGGAUGACGGUACCGGAAGAAUAAGCACCGGCUAACUACGUGCCAGCAGCCGCGGUAAUACGUAGGGUGCAAGCGUUAAUCGGAAUUACUGGGCGUAAAGCGUGCGCAGGCGGUCCGCUAAGACAGAUGUGAAAUCCCCGGGCUUAACCUGGGAACUGCAUUUGUGACUGGCGGGCUAGAGUAUGGCAGAGGGGGGUAGAAUUCCACGUGUAGCAGUGAAAUGCGUAGAGAUGUGGAGGAAUACCGAUGGCGAAGGCAGCCCCCUGGGCCAAUACUGACGCUCAUGCACGAAAGCGUGGGGAGCAAACAGGAUUAGAUACCCUGGUAGUCCACGCCCUAAACGAUGUCAACUAGUUGUUGGGGAUUCAUUUUCCUUAGUAACGUAGCUAACGCGUGAAG
rnacentral:rRNA from 1 species